rfam:Agrilus planipennis Contig3793, whole genome shotgun sequence.
UCGUAGAACGGCCUGAGGUAAAGGGAUUUUAGUCGGUAGGACCGAGGACUUCUUCCUCGGGAAUCCGACACUACCCAGUCGUACGGAUGGCUGGGUGUCUUUUGAAGAUUUCCCCUCUUCCACGA